rnacentral:rRNA from 1 species
UACGUAGGGUGCGAGCGUUGUCCGGAAUUACUGGGGGUAAAGAGCUCGUAGGUGGUUUGUCGCGUUGUCCGUGAAAACUCACAGCUUAACUGUGGGCGUGCGGGCGAUACGGGCAGACUGGAGUACUGCAGGGGAGACUGGAAUUCCUGGUGUAGCGGUGGAAUGCGCAGAUAUCAGGAGGAACACCGGUGGCGAAGGCGGGUCUCUGGGCAGUAACUGACGCUGAGGAGCGAAAGCGUGGGGAGCGAACAGG